UGGGGAAUUUUGCACAAUGGGGGAAACCCUGAUGCAGCGACGCCGCGUGAUUUAGAAGGCCUUCGGGUUGUAAAAAUCUUUUGUAUGGGAAGAAAAUGACAGUACCAUACGAAUAAGGACCGGCUAAUUACGUGCCAGCAGCCGCGGUAAUACGUAAGGUCCGAGCGUUGUCCGGAAUCAUUGGGCGUAAAGGGUACGUAGGCGGAUAAGCAAGUUAGAAGUGAAAUCCUAUAGCUCAACUAUAGUAAGCUUUUAAAACUGCUCAUCUUGAGGUAUGGAAGGGAAAGUGGAAUUCCUAGUGUAGCGGUGAAAUGCGCAGAUAUUAGGAGGAAUACCGGUGGCGAAGGCGACUUUCUGGCCAUAAACUGACGCUGGGGUACGAAAGCGUGGGUAGCAAACAGG
rnacentral:rRNA from 1 species